CCUACGGGUGGCAGCAGUGAGGAAUAUUGGUCACUGGACGAGAGUCUGAACCAGCCAAGUAGCGUGAAGGAUGACUGCCCUAUGGGUUGUAAACUUCUUUUAUAAAGGAAUAAAACGAGGCACGUGUGCCUUUUUGCAUGUACUUUAUGAAUAAGGAUCGGCUAACUCCGUGCCAGCAUCCGCAGUAAUACGGAGGAUCCGAGCGUUAUCCGGAUUUAUUGGGUUUAAAGGGAGUGUAGAUUGGUUGUUAAGUCAGUUGGUAACGUUUUCGGCUCAACCGUAAAAUUGCAAUUGAUACUGGCAGUCUUGAGUACAGUUGAGGUAGGCAGAAUUCGUGGUGUAGCGGUGAAUUGCUUAGAUAGCAAGAAGAACCCCGAUUGCGAAGGCAGCUUACUAAACUGUGACUGACAUUGAUGCUCGAAAGUGUGGGUAUCAAACAGGAUUAGAUACCCGAGUAGUC
rnacentral:rRNA from 1 species